rnacentral:rRNA from 1 species
UACGGAGGGUGCAAGCGUUAUCCGGAUUUACUGGGUUUAAAGGGUGCGUAGGCGGCGCGGUAAGUCGGGUGUGAAAUCUCGGGGCUUAACUCCGAAACUGCAUUCGAUACUGCCGUGCUUGAGGACUGGAGAGGAGACUGGAAUUUACGGUGUAGCGGUGAAAUGCGCAGAUAUCAGGAGGAACACCGGUGGCGAAGGCGGGUCUCUGGGCAACAACUGACGCUGAGGAGCGAAAGCGUGGGGAGCGAACAGG